rnacentral:rRNA from 1 species
AAUAACUGGUCGAAUCGCAUGGCCUUGCGCCGGCGAUGGUUCAUUCAAAUUUCUUCCCUAUCAACUUUCGAUGCGAGGGUCUUGUCCUCGCAUGGUUGCAACGGGUAACGGAGGGUUAGGGCUCGACCCCGGAGAAGGAGCCUGAGAAACGGCUACUACAUCCAAGGAAGGCAGCAGGCGCGCAAAUUACCCAAUCCCGACACGGGGAGGUAGUGACAAUAAAUACUGAUACAGGGCUCUUUUGGGUCUUGUAAUCGGAAUGAGUACAAUUUAAAUCCCUUAACGAGGAACAAUUGGAGGGCAAGUCUGGUGCCAGCAGCCGCGGUAAUUCCAGCUCCAAUAGCGUAUAUUAAAGUUGUUGUGGUUAAAAAGCUCGUAGUCGAACCUUGGGCCUGGCUGGCCGGUCCCCCUCACCGGGUGCACUGAUCCAGCCGGGCCUUUCCCUCUGUGGAACCCCAUGGCCUUCACUGGCUGUGCGGGGAAACCAGG